UACAGAGGGUGCGAGCGUUGUCCGGAAUCACUGGGCGUAAAGGGCGCGUAGGUGGUGGCUUAAGCGUGCGGUGAAAGCUCGGGGCUCAACUCCGAGUCGGCCGUGCGAACUGGGCUCACUGGAGCAUAGUAGAGGCAGGUGGAAUUCCGGGUGUAGCGGUGGAAUGCGUAGAGAUGCGGAGGAACACCGAUGGCGAAGGCAGCCCCCUGGGCUAACACUGACGCUGAGGCACGAAAGCGUGGGGAGCAAACAGG
rnacentral:rRNA from 1 species